UCCAGACUCCUACGGGAGGCAGCAGUGGGGAAUAUUGCACAAUGGGGGAAACCCUGAUGCAGCGACGCCGCGUGAGUGAAGAAGUAAUUCGUUAUGUAAAGCUCUAUCAGCAGGGAAGAAAAUGACGGUACCUGAGUAAGAAGCCCCGGCUAACUACGUGCCAGCAGCCGCGGUAAUACGUAGGGGGCAAGCGUUAUCCGGAUUUACUGGGUGUAAAGGGAGCGUAGACGGCAGUGCAAGUCUGGAGUGAAAGGCGGGGGCUCAACCCCCGGACUGCUCUGGAAACUGUACGGCUGGAGUGUCGGAGGGGCAGGCGGAAUUCCUAGUGUAGCGGUGAAAUGCGUAGAUAUUAGGAGGAACACCAGUGGCGAAGGCGACUUUCUGGACAGUAACUGACGUUGAGGCACGAAAGUGUGGGGAGCAAACAGGAUUAGAUACCCUAGUAC
rnacentral:rRNA from 1 species